rnacentral:rRNA from 1 species
UGGGGAAUAUUGGACAAUGGGGGGAACCCUGAUCCAGCCAUGCCGCGUGUGUGAAGAAGGCCUUUUGGUUGUAAAGCACUUUAAGCGAGGAGGAGGCUACCGAGAUUAAUACUCUUGGAUAGUGGACGUUACUCGCAGAAUAAGCACCGGCUAACUCUGUGCCAGCAGCCGCGGUAAUACAGAGGGUGCAAGCGUUAAUCGGAUUUACUGGGCGUAAAGCGCGCGUAGGUGGCCAAUUAAGUCAAAUGUGAAAUCCCCGAGCUUAACUUGGGAAUUCCAUUCGAUACUGGUUGGCUAGAGUAUGGGAGAGGAUGGUAGAAUUCCAGGUGUAGCGGUGAAAUGCGUAGAGAUCUGGAGGAAUACCGAUGGCGAAGGCAGCCAUCUGGCCUAAUACUGACACUGAGGUGCGAAAGCAUGGGGAGCAAACAGG